CACAACGAACGCUAGCGGCGCGUNUCAGGCAUGCAAGUCGUACGGUAACAGGUGAGCUUGCUCCUGCUGACGAGUGGCGCACGGGUGAGUAACGCGUAGGUAAGCUACCACAGAGUAUUGAAUAGCUCUACGAAAGUAGGAUUAAUACAAGAUAUUCUGAUAAAUACCUAAGUAUUAAUCAGGAAAGGUUUCGACCGCUUUGUGAUGUGCCUGCGUUAGAUUAGCUUGUUGGUAAGGUAAUGGCUUACCAAGGCGACGAUCUAUAGCCGAGCUGAGAGGCUGAUCGGCCACAUUGGGACUGAGAUACGGCCCAGACUCCUACGGGAGGCAGCAGCUAAGAAUCUUCCGCAAUGGUCGAAAGACUGACGGAGCGACGCCGCGUGAAUGAUUGAAGGCCUUACAGGUUGUAAAAUUCUUUGAUGAGAGACGAAUGUAUUAUUUUAGAUAAUUCUGACGGUAUCUCUUGAAUAAGAUCCGGCUAACUACGUGCCAGAAGAGCGCGGUAAUACGUAGGGAUCUAGCGUAGAUCGGAAUUAACUGGGCGUAAAGGGUACGUAGGCGAGAUAAUAAGUCAGAUGUGAAAUCUCU
rnacentral:rRNA from 1 species